AACCAUAUUGCAUGUUUGAUUCAUAAUUAAGAUGUAAAUAAAAUAAACAUGAAACUACUUUAGAUCUAAUCUAAACAGGUUCAUGUAAUUGAAACAAUUUCAACUUUAAAUAAUUUUUUUGCACAAAAAUUAUUAACAAAGAGAUUUUAUUUUAGAUUUAAACAUCUUUUAAAUCUAAUAAAUUAUAAAUUUAAUCUAGAUCAUAUCUAAUAAAUUUAUGAUUAAAGAUAGAUCUACACAAACUAGGACAACCUUUGCACUGUAAGGGGUAAACUUUACAGCAGGAC
rnacentral:lncRNA from 1 species